rnacentral:lncRNA from 1 species
AAACUGUGAGAGACACCAUGUCAAGGAAGCAGUGUGAGCUAGCGUCUAAGGAUUGUGAAAACUGAGCAAGUGCCCAGAACUAGAAACUUCCCAGCCCCCUGAACUCAGCCUCAGGGUAAGCGAGUUUAAUAGUGCUUCCUUUGAUUUUCAAAUCUGUGGAAGGUUUGUUUCAGUUUUUCCCAGACAAAUAUUGUUGGGAUAGUGUUUCUUUUCAAAAAUGGAUAGGAUUCAAUGCUCAUCAGUGGGAAGAUAGUGACUCCUGACCAUUUUCCUCCUAGCUGGAAACUACAGAAGACUCCCAAGUAUCAGGAAAUUUGGAGAAUUUGUACAGGAAUUAUAUUCAGAGAUAGCAAUUUAUUUACUCAUCAAAGAGAGCUAUUGGAUAGCCACCAUAAAGACCACUCAUUAAAAAACAAAAUUGCAUGAUAUUCUUAACAUUGUCUUUCACUUUUUUUAACCAGGCUUGGUGGAGUUUCAAGAUGCUGAUGAACUUAAGGUAUGGGCCGAGUGGAAAGAAUUUGGUUUAAGUUAUUAAUAGUUGAAUUGAAAUUGUGGCCAAGGAUGAGAACUCUAAUCUGAUUUUAUGUGCUUCUGCUGUGAUGGAUUAAAGGAUUUACCUGAGGCCAAAUUGGUAUGCAGGAAUUUAUUAAAUGGAAUCAUACCCCCCCCCCUUUUAAAAUUACGCUUUUGGUAAAAGGGAAAAAGCUCUUGGUAAAUGGAUAAUACUACUAAGCCAAGAGAAAGACAGGAUUUUGAGUGAAAACAUAAAUUUAGAUGUCACAACAUUACUAAAGCAACAGUGUGUAAGAUACUGGACGAUUUUAUUUACUUACUUGCACAGUUUUUGUAAACAGUCUAGACAGUACUGUAUUUUGCUAUUUAGUAAUACCUACUGUGAUACUUCUUUUACAGGUCUGGCGCUUGAAAGAAUCAGUGAAGCUUUUCAAGUAGAGGAGUGGUGUUUCCAGUGAAAUCUAUGGCAAGAUGGUUUGGGGUCACUAUCUACAUGAACUGCCAAGUUGGAAAAUCAAAAAUACAUCAAAAUCACUCUUGGGACAUAAGUCACGGAAGUGACUCAUGCACACAAUAAAUACCCAAGAAGCAGGACCAGACGGCAGUUGUGUAUUGGCACGCUCAUCAGUGCUGCAAAAAUUCCCCUUCUGGAUGGCAACAACAAUGCUGUAUCCACAGCAGCAUUUUAAAUCUCACCUCUGAUGUAUCCAUUG